AGAUAUUUCUUCUACGUAAAUGUCAAGCCAAAGUAGAAAUUAGUGCGGUGUAGAUAUUUUUCCUUGUAGAUAACAAGCCAAAGUAACUCCCAACUUUCAAAUAAGAGUUAUUUUCAUGUACAUUGCGCCAGACUACUAGCUUUUGUUAUCAUUAGAGGUUUCAGUGCUUCACCGGUUCACUCCGUUGGGCAUUUGUGCUCACCAAGUCACUACACUGAACGACUCCGGGCACAACGUAUGUGUAUGCAGCAUUUCUCUCAAUAUGUGGCUGUAACUGUCUCUUGUUGUAUGUGUCAGCCACAUCUAGUGUCCAGCUGUGGCAGCAGCUUCCUCAACACAAAGACACGGCUGGAGUUGACAAGGCAAAGCGAAAGAGAAGUAGUCUGCCCACUCAGCGGAAGAUGAGUAAGGGUUGAAAUCCCUACUGUUUCUUAGCCUUGGGAGGGACAUCAUCUGAUAGAAUACAUGGCGAGUGAAAGAUACACAUACGUACACAGUGAUAUCUCAGGGAAUACUCAAGUCAUGAGUGAUACGUAUGGUCAUUUCCUGCCCAAUACAAGCAAGACCCUCAUAACAAGUACUAAAUAAAAAAAUAAAAAAUGAUGCCCAACAUUCACCUGUGAUAACGACAAUAGUGGUGUUCCUCUGUACCAGGAUUCAGAUGACAGAAUAAAUGCUACUAGACAAGGACAGCAGCCAGCCACCUACUCCCACCACCUGCACCUGUGAGGGCAAGGACUGGUGCUUGGUCCACUUGAAGAGGAUGCACUCUCCCUUCCUGUCUACUGGUGAGGUAAUGCCUCUGUAGCAGCUGAUUUCCCUUAACCAUCACUGGAGGGGGGAAGAGCCUUUAAAUUCAAAGUGGCCAACCUCAAGUGCUGGGUAGGCACAAGUUACAGUGCAACUUACACUUUUGAGAGAAUGUUCCUAGUCUCCCCUAACCUAACUAACUUUGAUGUAUAUUGGAUAAAUGAACAAUCCUGGAUAGACAUGACCCAAAUGAUAGAGGCCUUCUGUCUUCCUAAUUUUGUUAGGGAUGGGGGAAAUAGUGACCAACACAGCCAUAUAUCUAAUUCAGGAAUACCUUUCCUUAAAGGGGUUACUUUACACUCUGCUUCCUUCUGAGUGAGACGAAACACCCUUCCUGUCCCUUUCACUGCCCAAUAUUACAUAACAAUGGUCUCACUACCUUCCUUCCCUGGCACCUUCUGACACAUUGAGCACACCAUGCACAACCCUGGAGGACUUUAAACAGAGACAGUGGAUUGUCUCAAUGUGGCUAGUAGUAAUAUAAUAACAAUGAUCUUGUUGGCUUUGAGGAUGAUGUUUUUAACAUUGAACUUACCUCGACG